CUUCACUUUUCAACCCUUUGAAACCGGUGAGACAUUGAUCAGUUUGAGUAACACAUUGUUGGAGUUGUGAAGUUAUCUUAUUAUGGCUUGUUUGGAAAGUGUUUUGAACAGCUUUGAUGUCCUGCUGAACCUCUGCUUGGAGUUGAUCAACCAUGAAUCGUAGUUCAGAAACCAAGCAAGAUCAGCAAUCUGGCUCUGGUGCUGAGAAGAGGUAUCUUUCACUUCCUGGGAGUUGGUAGAAUGUUGGGCAGUUCAUGUUGUGCCACUGAUGAAUGAGUUCCACCUUCAGAAGAGGUGCAAAGUUGCAUGUUAUCCCCUUGUGUUGCCCAGGUGAGAGUUUGUACUGGAGUGCUCCCAGCCAGAGCAGGAGAGGACAUGUGCACAUGGGUUCCAGGAUGAACAGGGCUGAGUGGAGUGGGGGUAUGGUAGAACACCGGAGCACAUGGAGGUGGUUCCAGAGGCAUCCCCGGUCG